rnacentral:rRNA from 1 species
GAAGACGGCCAUAGUAGCCAGGAAAUACCUGAUCCCGUUCCGAUCUCAGAAGUCAAGCUGGCUACGUUGUCUGUUGUAGUGUCCGACAAGAUGCGAAGCAGCGAUGUCGUCUUCG